rnacentral:tRNA from 1 species
GCCUGGGUGGCUCAGACACUUGGGCGUCCGACUUACACUCGGGUCAUGAUCUCAUGGUUUGUGGGUUCAAGCCCUACGUCAGGCU